rnacentral:rRNA from 1 species
GGCCGCGGGAAUCCCCUUCAAGCCUAACACAUGCAAGUCGAACGGCAGCACGCACCUUGCUCUGGUGGCGAGUGGCGAACGGGUGAGUAAUAUAUCGGAACGUACCCUAGAGUGGGGGAUAACGUAGCGAAAGUUACGCUAAUACCGCAUACGAUCUAAGGAUGAAAGUGGGGGAUCGCAAGACCUCAUGCUCGUGGAGCGGCCGAUAUCUGAUUAGCUAGUUGGUAGGGUAAAAGCCUACCAAGGCAUCGAUCAGUAGCUGGUCUGAGAGGACGACCAGCCACACUGGAACUGAGACACGGUCCAGACUCCUACGGGAGGCAGCAGUGGGGAAUUUUGGACAAUGGGCGAAAGCCUGAUCCAGCAAUGCCGCGUGAGUGAAGAAGGCCUUCGGGUUGUAAAGCUCUUUUGUCAGGGAAGAAACGGUGAGAGCUAAUAUCUCUUGCUAAUGACGGUACCUGAAGAAUAAGCACCGGCUAACUACGUGCCAGCAGCCGCGGUAAUACGUAGGGUGCAAGCGUUAAUCGGAAUUACUGGGCGUAAAGCGUGCGCAGGCGGUUUUGUAAGUCUGAUGUGAAAUCCCCGGGCUCAACCUGGGAAUUGCAUUGGAGACUGCAAGGCUAGAAUCUGGCAGAGGGGGGUAGAAUUCCACGUGUAGCAGUGAAAUGCGUAGAUAUGUGGAGGAACACCGAUGGCGAAGGCAGCCCCCUGGGUCAAGAUUGACGCUCAUGCACGAGAGCGUGGGGAGCAAACAGGAUUAGAUACCCCUGGUAGUCCACGCCCUAAACGAUGUCUAC